GGAAGUAGUUAGGACGCUCUGCUGACUCCAGAGAGACCACCGGGAGACCUGUAAUACAGAGUUUAACAUAUGGGUGAAGCUCAUGUUCCCUGUGGCUCUCUUCUCCUGUAGGUCCAAGGCAUAGCGAUUGGUCUCCACCACUAUAUCUCCACCACUUUCAGAAAUAGCUUGAAGCACUCUGCCUCAGAGGGAGAUGGCAAGGGACUUUGCACUCCAGACUGGAACUCGUCAAAGCAAACAGCAGGGCCAAACGGGGUGAAAUGGAUGGCGGCCUUCCAGCUACCGCAGACCCUUCGUACUUCACCCACUGUUGGUCUGCCUCCAUCACCACCAGCAUCUUCAGAGGGACCUGGGACUUUGUCGGUUGGAAAGGGUUCCUCAGAUUCUGAGUUAUCAAUGGCCACAAGGCUGGGGGCAGCUCCUCAGUGUCACUGUCAGAAUCUGAUUCCUCACUGUCAUACUCAGAAUCAUUGUCAGAAUUUACAAAUAUCUCCAGAAUUUCCUCAUUUGUGAGUUGUCUCAUUUUGAAAGACAUUGCUAAUGCUACAGCUUAGCCCACUAGCUACAUACAUAAACAACAACACUAAUUGGCUCCAAGUGAGUGUCAGGGGAGAUGUGAUUGGCUGCCGGUGUGUUGAUACUGAUGAUUUGUCUCCACAGAUGGUUUGUUUAUAUAGCAAGUUAGGAGAACUAACACAGCAGGUUAGGUGAAUUAACGUAGGCUCAUAAUUAGCUACUAUUGCCCCUGACACAACGACCAGAUAGAGCUGUUGAAGGCCUCGCUAUUCCAUCUAGCCACAACAGUAGAAACAUAAAACAAACUACCUGUGGCGAUCAGUAUCAUUACACCGGCAAGAGCCACUUGUAUCCAUAAAUCACUAUCAGAAAAUGGUUUGUGUGGUAAUAAUUUCUUUAUUUGUUGUUUAAUUCAUAUGUUUUCAAGUAAUGGUGACAAAUCAUGCAUUCUGAUUCUUGCAUAGAUUUUAAUGGACACGUAUGAUGUGUGUAAAAUUAUUUUUUGAAGGCUGUACUGAGUAUGAUGAGCUAAUGCUAAGCUAUUUGCCGGCUAUGUGUGGAGCAAUGUUUGUUGACAUCAUUCAAUACAUUCUGUUUGUCACGUAAAUGUCUGUCAAACCAAAGAUAUUAUAGAAAAUGAGGUGAAGGGAUGGUUCACUCGUCUUUCGAGUCAACUUCAGGAAGACAAUGAUGGUAGAUGACACAGCCCCUUUCGCCUUUGAAAUACAUACAGACCCAACUCAUCUUGUCAUCUCUUCUUAUCUUUGGUUGACACAGAAAAACAAACAUGGCGGUGCGCACAAACUCUGCCCACCGUCGGAUUACAUUAGUAUUUUAGAAAGUGUUUUACUCAAUUACUUCAAUCACUGGUGAGCUCACCCGUGAUUUGAUUAAUUGUAAAUAGUAACUGCUAUUAGCUAAUUCAUAUUAUGGUUUCGAUCAGCUGAGAGUUAGCUAAAUAUGACAGUUUGCGUUAGCUCCCUCUUUAUUCAGUUAGCACUAGGACUAACGUAGCCUACAUUUCUCUGAUAUGGAUGAGAAUUGUGUUACACUGUUGCUACUUCUGUGCACAUUGCAUCCAAAAAUAAACUGCUCACAUUGA